AAUGGCCGCAGUAUUUUAACUGUGCAAAGGUAGCAUAAUAAUUAGUUUUUUAAUUUAAAGCUUGUAUGAAGGGUUGGACGAAAUAAUAACUGUCUCAUGAUAAUUUAUAUUAGAAUUUAAUUUUUAAGUCAAAAAGCUUAAAUAAAAUUAAUAGACGAGAAGACCCUAUAGAGUUUUAUAUUUUUAUUAAUUUAUUUAAUUAUGAUUUAGUUAAUUUUAAUUUAAUAAAAUUAUUUUAUUGGGGUAAUAGAAAGAUUAUUAUAAUUCUUUUUAAUAAUUAUCAUUAAUUUAUGAAUAAAAGAUCCAAUUUUAUUGAUUAAAAGAUAUAAUUACCUUAGGGAUAACAGCGUAAUUUUUUUAAAGAGUUCUUAUCGAUAAAAAAGUUUGCGACCUCGAUGUUGGAUUAAAGAUUAGUUUAGGUGUAGAAUUUUAAAUUUUUGGUCUGUUCGACCAUUAAAUCUUUACAUGAUCUGAGUUCAGACCGGCGUAAGCCAGGU
rnacentral:misc_RNA from 1 species